UCUGUGAUGGUUGCUGCUUACAAAUCUCCUGUGCACCACUAGUGGAGACUGGUGGCUUCCAUCCCUGUAGGACAAUGAAUCCAUUCUGGAUUUUAGUAAGAACUAUAAGGUGCUGAGCUUCUUUCAUAAAAGAAAUCCAGCACUAUGGAUUGCUCCAAAUUGAUUUUCUGCCUCCACAAUCCUGGAAGGGAGGAGAAAAGAGGAGAGAAGAAAAUGGGGGGGGGGGGGGGGGAAGGGGAAGAAAAAUAAGUGAAACCCAGAGAGAAGCAAGAAGAAGGAAGAAAGCACAGGAGAAAAAGAAAGAAAGGAAACAAGGGCAGUUCAAAAACUGAAACUUUCUUCAUCAUUUGGAAUCCAACAAUCCUGGAAGUUUUGCACAGACGUCUAUGUAUAGCACAGAAACUGGAGUCUCUAAAGUUGGCCUGAAAAUCUGACCUAGAAAAUCUGACCUAGAACUGCACAAUAAGAGAUAUACAAUGAGAAAAAAAAAUCAAAAAUCAAAUGUGUGCCUAAAUGUGUGCCUAACAUGUUGAGUUUUGUUCUCGUCCUUGAGGUGCACUUUAUAAUGUUUACACAAAUGCAGGCACACACCACUUAGAAAUGGACUGUACAAUUUUAAAUAUUAUUAGUAGGCUAAUUAAGACUGGAGAAUUGGGGUUAACUCCAUCUCCCCCCUGAAUACAGGAAUCAACAUGCUUUUUUUUUUUACAUUGAAGAGGAUUUAAACAUGUGACGCCAGAUUUACCACUGGAAAUUCUGCAGUCCCAAGAUGUGCUCUGAUACAUUUGCCCUUAUCUUGAACCUUACGUCUUGUAAAUUUAAUCAUGAGUAUGAAGGGAAGAUACAGUUUCUGCUUUUCCAGAAAAUUAAGACAAUGGAUUCAAAUGGCUGCAGCUCCAGAAAACCUUAUCAGAUAUAAAAACAAGAGAGAGCUAUUUAGAUCUCCAGGGCCCCCUCCACAUGGACAGAAUACCCCAGGAGCAGGAUGGAGUAUUCUGGGUUCCAAAGCUGCCUCAUAUUCCUCUGCCUACAAAGAAGCCUGCAGCCUCACAACAUAUUGGACUGCAAAAAGAGGAUUCCUUGUUGAUAUGCAAAUGGACAUUAAAUUCCCAGGAUUUUGCCCAAUUGCUCCAUGGCCAGAAGAAGAGACGCCAGCCUGCUAAAGAUACCCUCCCUAUACCAUCUUAACUAAGGACAGAAACAACAAAAUUCAGGCAUCUUAUUAACAUCUCUAAUUUUCCUCCUGUUUGGUAU